rnacentral:tRNA from 1 species
AAGGUGCUAGUAAACAAACAUUACCUUGCCUUGUCAGAGCAAAAUUGUAGGUUAAACCCCUGCGCACCUUA